GAGAUGGGGUUUCACUAUGUUGACCAGGCUGGUCUGGAACUCUUGACCUCAUGAACCACCUGCCUUGGCCAAAGAUUCAAGUCAGUGCAAUAAAAAAAGUACAUUUCUGAUCACAUCUCCAUUUCUUCAACAUUUACGUAUUUAUAUUUCCAAGAUAUUCCAUACAGCAUGAAUCCAUGAAGAAUUAGGCUUCGACUAAGAUUCUUUCUACAUUGAUCUCGAGUUUAGCAAAGGGAGCCUAUGAAUGAGCUGCCUUCCCUGAUGUCAGCACUGAAACUCGAGAAACAAGUUUCUCUGAAAUCUCUGGAUCAUCUUACAUUCUGGCGAGUUCUACCUUCUGUUAAUGAAGGUAGUCGUCUCUUUCCAACUAGAUGAUUUGCUUUAGCCCCAACAUGCAAAGGGAGAAUUUGAGCAAAAAGACUUCAAGGCAUCUUGCAGAGGUGGUAGGCCUCUAUAUAAGACUUUAAACUCCUACAGAUGUGGAUUUGGAUCAGCAUGAUCUAAUUAUUCCAGCUAUUGACUCCUCAUCAAUCUACAUGGUGGCCAUAC
rnacentral:lncRNA from 1 species